AUGCAACCUACCUUAAUCAGGGGGAUAGCCCGAAGAAAUUCGGAUUAACACCGCAUAAAAUCACAGUACAGCAUUGUACAAUGAUCAAAUAUUUAUAGGAUUAAGAUGGGCAUGCGUGACAUUAGUUAGUUGGCGGGGUAACGGCCCACCAAGACCACGAUGUCUAGGGGAUCUGAGAGGAUGACCCCCCACACUGGUACUGAGACACGGACCAGACUCCUACGGGAGGCAGCAGUAAGGAAUAUUGGUCAAUGGAGGCAACUCUGAACCAGCCAUGCCGCGUGCAGGAAGACAGCCCUCUGGGUCGUAAACUGCUUUUAUUCGGGAAUAAACCUACUUACGUGUAAGUAGCUGAAUGUACCGAAGGAAUAAGGAUCGGCUAACUCCGUGCCAGCAGCCGCGGUAAUACGGAGGAUCCAAGCGUUAUCCGGAUUUAUUGGGUUUAAAGGGUGCGUAGGCGGCUUUUUAAGUCAGGGGUGAAAGACGGUGGCUCAACCAUCGCAGUGCCCUUGAUACUGAAGAGCUUGAAUGAAUUAGAGGUAGGCGGAAUGUGACAAGUAGCGGUGAAAUGCAUAGAUAUGUCACAGAACACCGAUUGCGAAGGCAGCUUACUAUGAUUUUAUUGACGCUGAGGCACGAAAGCGUGGGGAUCAAACAGGAUUAGAUACCCUGGUAGUCCACGCCCUAAACGAUGAAUACUCGCUGUUAGCGAUACACAGUUAGCGGCUAAGCGAAAGCGUUAAGUAUUCCACCUGGGGAGUACGGUCGCAAGAUUGAAACUCAAAGGAAUUGACGGGGGCCCGCACAAGCGGAGGAGCAUGUGGUUUAAUUCGAUGAUACGCGAGGAACCUUACCCGGGCUUGAAAGUUAGUGAAUCAUUUAGAGAUAGAUGAGUCCGCAAGGACACGAAACUAGGUGCUGCAUGGCUGUCGUCAGCUCGUGCCGUGAGGUGUUGGGUUAAGUCCCGCAACGAGCGCAACCCCUAUGUUUAGUUGCCAGCACGUUAAGGUGGGGACUCUAAACAGACUGCCUGUGCAAACAGAGAGGAAGGAGGGGACGACGUCAAGUCAUCAUGGCCCUUACGUCCGGGGCUACACACGUGCUACAAUGGAUGGUACAGAGGGCAGCAAGCUGGUAACAGCAAGCAAAUCUCCAAAAGCCAUUCACAGUUCGGAUAGAGGUCUGCAACUCGACCUCUUGAAGUUGGAUUCGCUAGUAAUCGUAUAUCAGCAAUGAUACGGUGAAUACGUUCCCGGGCCUUGUACACACCGCCCGUCAAGCCAUGGAAGUUGGGGGUACCUAAA
rnacentral:rRNA from 1 species